UACGUAGGUGACAAGCGUUGUCCGGAUUUACUGGGCGUAAAGAGCGCGCAGGCGGUCGAUCAAGUCGCGUGUGAAAGCCCCCGGCUCAACUGGGGAGGGUCACGCGAUACUGAUCGACUCGAAGGCAGGAGAGGGUAGUGGAAUUCCCGGUGUAGUGGUGAAAUGCGUAGAUAUCGGGAGGAACACCAGUGGCGAAGGCGACUACCUGGCCUGUUCUUGACGCUGAGGCGCGAAAGCUAGGGGAGCAAACGGG
rnacentral:rRNA from 1 species